GACGAACGCUGGCGGCGUGCUUAACACAUGCAAGUCGAACGGAAAGGCCCUGCUUUUGUGGGGUGCUCGAGUGGCGAACGGGUGAGUAACACGUGAGUAACCUGCCCUUGACUUUGGGAUAACUUCAGGAAACUGGGGCUAAUACCGGAUAGGAUCUCCUGCUGCAUGGUGGGGGUUGGAUAGUUUCGGCGGUUGGGGAUGGACUCGCGGCUUAUGAGCUUGUUGGUUGGGUAGUGGCUUACCAAGGCUUUGACGGGUAGCCGGCCUGAGAGGGGGACCGGCCACAUUGGGACUGAGAUACGGCCCAGACUCCUACGGGAGGCAGCAGUGGGGAAUAUUGCACAAUGGGAGGAAGCCUGAUGCAGCAACGCCGCGUGCGGGAUGACGGCCUUCGGGUUGUAAACCGCUGUCGCCUGUGACGAAGCGUGAGUGACGGUACUGGGUAAAGAAGCACCGGCUAACUACGUG
rnacentral:rRNA from 1 species